CGGGCGCGCGAGGGAGCACUCAGUGCUUCCUCUUCAGCUCCCUCGCGCGCCGCGUAGGGAUGCCGGCGCCGGAAGAUGACGUCAUCUUCCGGCUCCGGUAUCAGUGCGGUGCGCAAGGGAGCUGGAGGAAGCACUGAGUGCUCCCUCGCGCGCGCG